CUGGUUAGUACUUGGUUGGGUGACCGCCUGCGAAUACCAAG
rnacentral:rRNA from 10 species